UACGGAGGGUGCAAACGUUGCUCGGAAUCAUUGGGCGUAAAGGGCGCGUAGGCGGCGCGAGGAGUCGGGGGUGAAAGUCCGGGGCUCAACCCCGGAUCGGCCUUCGAUACUCUCGCGCUGGAGCACAGUAGAGGCGGGUGGAAUUCCGGGUGUAGCGGUGGAAUGCGUAGAGAUCCGGAAGAACACCGGUGGCGAAGGCGGCCCGCUGGGCUGUGGCUGACGCUGAGGCGCGACAGCGUGGGGAGCAAACAGG
rnacentral:rRNA from 1 species